GACGAACGCUGGCGGCGUGCCUAAUACAUGCAAGUAGAACGCUGAAGGAGGAGCUUGCUCUUCUGGAUGAGUUGCGAACGGGUGAGUAACGCGUAGGUAACCUGCCUGGUAGCGGGGGAUAACUAUUGGAAACGAUAGCUAAUACCGCAUAACAGUAGAUGUUGCAUGACAUUUGCUUAAAAGGUGCAAUUGCACCACUACCAGAUGGACCUGCGUUGUAUUAGCUAGUUGGUGGGGUAACGGCUCACCAAGGCGACGAUACAUAGCCGACCUGAGAGGGGGAUCGGCCACACUGGGACUGAGACACGGCCCAGACUCCUACGGGAGGCAGCAGUAGGGAAUCUUCGGCAAUGGACGGAAGUCUGACCGAGCAACGCCGCGUGAGUGAAGAAGGUUUUCGGAUCGUAAAGCUCUGUUGUAAGAGAAGAACGAGUGUGAGAGUGGAAAGUUCACAAUGUGACGGUAUCUGACCAGAAAGGGACGGCUAACUACGUG
rnacentral:rRNA from 1 species